CUCAGUCUCCCAAAGUGCUGUGAUUACAGGUGUGAGCCACCACACCUGGCCCUAACUCUAGGUUUCUUAAGAGAAGAGACCACCUCUUGUCUGCUUUUGUACUUCCAGAGCCCAAUGUAGUGUCUGACACAUGGUUUUUAUUCAGAAUCUGUUGGAAGAAAGUGCGAGGAAGGAUUCAAACUGGGCAAAGACCAUGGCUCCUUCCACUGCACCGCAAUGUCAGCAUCUCAUAAGAACACACCCAACUAAUCCAGAACAGACAGGAAGGAAGAAUGUUUUUGCACACACACACACAUGCAUACACAUGUGAGAGACUUUCCUAGCCUAAUGCUAGACCACUUCCCUUAUAGAAAUUGGCCAGCAGUGUGACAAUUAACUAACUUUCUAAGUCGCUAACCAAAUAUCUCAUUUACUCAGUCACCAGAUUGAUGGGAGGUGUGAUGGGACAGAGAAAAGAGACCUCAGGGAGCUGUGAAGGAGGCUUUGCAAAGCAGAUGACAUUUGAGCUUGAUCUUAAAGGAUGAGGGCUGGGGCCACUGUUAGCAAUCCUGGCAGCAUGGUGUUCCUUCUUGACCAUUCAAGAUUCUGUCCAGUGUUUGGAAAAGGCACAGGAAUCUCCAGCUGGUCACUCAAACUCUUUGGACUUCAUUUAUUUUACUGUCACAUGGAGACAAUAAUAAUACCUGCCUUGGAGAGUCACCAGGAAGAUUUAUGAAAAGGAUGCAGUGAAAAUCCUGAUUUCUUGGGCUGAUGGACAGAACUUGUAGCGCACGAAGUCAGAGAGACUUCCUUUCUUAAAAUUUCUGGGCCUUGAUUUCCUCAUCUGUAAAGUGAAAACAGCAUUACUUUGUGGAAAUUGUGUAAAAAUUCUAUUCUAUAAGAAAAACACUUGUGAUUCAUUUGAUUAUUAACUGCCUACCAGAUGUAGAGUGAUUGGGAGUACAGCUAUGCCUGAAACACGGGGAUCCUAAAUAAAUGGUAGCAAUUAUUGG
rnacentral:lncRNA from 13 species